rnacentral:misc_RNA from 1 species
CAUAAGCAGACACAUCUGGAGACUGUCACAAUAUUUUAACACGUUACCAGAAGUUCCAAAGAGUGAGUAUUUACUAACAACUAACCAUAAGUUUUAAACAGAAAAAGAGGGAGAAAAAAACUUAAGGAUGUGUGCAGUAACAAAAAAUUCAAGAAAGUACAAUUCCAGAGAAUCUUUUCACAAGCAACAAUGUUAGAAAUUAAUAAAGGCAAUAAAACAAGACAUGCAACAUUCAAUGCUUUGACUAAGGCCAUGUAAAUGCUAUGGAACAG